AGCGAUCUACCCAUGGGCAGGUUGAAGGUGCGGUAACACGCACUGGAGGACCGAACCCACGUCUGUUGAAAAAGACGGGGAUGACCUGUGGCUAGGGGUGAAAGGCCAAUCAAACUCGGAGAUAGCUGGUUCUCCGCGAAAGCUAUUUAGGUAGCGCGUCGUGUGAUUACCGCCGGGGGUAGAGCACUGGAUGGGCUAGGGGGUCUCACCGACUUACCAAACCUAACCAAACUCCGAAUACCGGCGAGUACAGCACGGCAGACAGUCCAUGGGUGCUAAGGUCCGUGGACGAGAGGGAAACAGCCCAGACCUCCAGCUAAGGCCCCCAAGUGGCGGCUAAGUGGGAAAGGAUGUGGGAAGGCCAAGACAACCAGGAGGUUGGCUUAGAAGCAGCCAUCCUUUAAAGAAAGCGUAAUAGCUCACUAGUCGAGU
rnacentral:rRNA from 1 species